UUAUCCGCAGUUGAAUCGCACGUC
rnacentral:siRNA from 1 species